AGAGUUUGAUCAUGGCUCAGGACGAACGCUUGCGGCGUGCCUAAGAAAUGCAAGUCGAGCGGGGCGCUUCGGCGCCCAGCGGCGAACGGUCGCGUAACACGUAAGCAACCUGCCCCGAAGACCGGGACAACAUCUCGAAAGGGGUGCUAAUACCGGAUGUGGCCCUUCUCUGGCAUCAGGGAAGGAUUAAAGCCUGCACAAGGGCUUCGGGAGGGGCUUGCGGCCUAUCAGCUAGUUGGUGGGGUAACGGCCUACCAAGGCGACGACGGGUAGCUGGUCUGAGAGGACGUCCAGCCGGACUGGGACUGAGAGACGGCCCAGACUCCUACGGGGGGCAGCAAUUAGGAAUCUUGCGCAAUGGGCGAAAGCCUGACGCAGCGACGCCGCGUGGAGGAGGAAGUCCUUCGGGAUGUAAACUCCUUUUGAGUGGGAAGAAAACAAUGACGGUACCACUUGAAUAAGCCCCGGCUAACUACGUGCCAGCAGCCGCGGUA
rnacentral:rRNA from 1 species